UGAAAAAUCAACCCUGCCGGCACCCUGCCCUUGGAAUUGCAGCCCCCAGAACUGUAAGAAAGCAAGUUUCUGUUAUUUAAUACAACCCAGUCUGUGGUAUUUUGUUAUAGCAGCAGGCUAAUGCGGCAGAUAACAAGCAAACAAGUAAAUAUAUAAUGUCAGGGAAUGAUAAGGGAGCAUUUGAAGAACAGUGGAGCAAGGUCUUUGCUGUCCAAUGGAGAAGAUGCUGGAGGAGAGCAAGUGUGGAAACACAGAGACCAAUUAGGAAGCUGCUGGUCCAGACAGAGCCCGAGCAGGGGAGGGGCAGAGAGAGGGAGACACAGAAUCUG